ACGGCUCAGUAACACGUGGACAAUCUACCCUAUGGAGGGGGAUAACCCCGGGAAACUGGGGAUAAUACCCCAUAGACUAUGGAUGCUGGAAUGCUUUGUAGUUGAAAGGUCCGCCGCCAUAGGAUGGGUCUGCGGCCGAUUAGGUUGUUGUUGGGGUAACGGCCCAACAAGCCUGUAAUCGGUACGGGUUGUGGGAGCAAGAGCCCGGAGAUGGAUUCUGAGACACGAAUCCAGGCCCUACGGGGCGCAGCAGGCGCGAAAACUUUACAAUGCGGGAAACCGUGAUAAGGGAACUCCGAGUGCCCGUAAAAUCGGGCUGUCCAUCUGUUUAAAUAACAGGUGAAGAAAGGGCCGGGCAAGACCGGUGCCAGCCGCCGCGGUAAUACCGGCGGCUCGAGUGGUGGCCACUAUUACUGGGCUUAAAGCGUUCGUAGCUGGUCUGUUAAGUCUCUGGGGAAACCUACUGGCUUAACCAAUAGGCGUCUCAGGGAUACUGGCAGACUAGGGACCGGGAGAGGUGAGAGGUACUCCAGGGGUAGGAGUGAAAUCCUGUAAUCCUUGGGGGACCACCUGUGGCGAAGGCGUCUCACCAGAACGGCUCCGACAGUGAGGGACGAAAGCUGGGGGAGCAAACCGGAUUAGAUACCCGGGUAGUCCCAGCCGUAAACGAUGCGCGUUAGGUGUAUCGGUGACCACGAGUCACCGAGGUGCCGAAGAGAAAUCGUGAAAC
rnacentral:rRNA from 1 species